AGAAGAUUCCAGCUCCGAAGUACAUGAUCACUGCAACAAUCACAGCAAGUCCAACGCCGAGAACGAAGCUCAUCUGCAUUUUCGCCCCAAUUAUGGUUGAUAACAUGAGGUUUUGAUUUUAGUACCUGUCCGGCAACAGCAAGCCCAUCAGCGAGGAGGGAGGACGUCAUCCAGACUUGUAAGCAAGUCUGGAAGGCAGCCAUCGGCGUUGGACCUAGCCGAGCAGCCAUGGAUGCAGCAAGUGUCACGCAGAAGGUCACAGCUAUAACUCUUGCCAACAGCAGACUACCUGCAUUCAGAAAAGCUCUACCAUGUACAAAUCUCAUUAGUAGAAGAAAAGGAAGGUAUGAAGAAUGGUUAUUACCAUUUUUGAGAAAUCGACCGAGCUGCAAUUCUCUAAGGCUAGGAGAUUCUCUUUUUCCAUCAUGUUCUUCUGAGGACUUCUUUUCCAACAUGUUUGGAUUCUUUUCCAAAUCAUGAAUGGUGCCAUUUCCGGGUGUCGAAUUUCUCGUUUCUUUAGUUAUAAGUGAAGCAGAACUACUCUUUUCCAACAUGUUUUCCUUCUUGGUUUCAUCCUGUAAUUGUCUUCCUCAGCAACAAAUGAUGUUGUUAUGCUCACCAAUGGGAAUAUGGUGAUCCUUGAAGCUUGAUUGAAUAUCGCAACAGACACUCCAACGGCUGCAAGUUCAACAGCUCCUGCAGAAGCCAAGUUGAACAUUAUCUUCAUCAAUACAAAUGAUUAAAUUGGUUGCAAUGAAAAGAUAGCAGCAAAUGCAAGGUAUAUACCAAUAUGGCCGACGAAAAUGGUGUCGAUAAGAGAAGCAAUGGGAUCAGCAGCAACAGCUAGAGCAGCUGGAAAUGCAAUUCCUAGGAUCUCUUUUCCAAGAUCAUCCCACUUGAAAACAAGUCUAGAAGGACAUUUCUUUGCAUCAGUAACAAAUUAAAGAGACUACAAAGAGAAUUCAAGAAGCAAAAGAUCAUGGCGGGUUUCGCCCUAUUGACUUUAAAGUGAAAAUUGGAGCGGAAAGUUCUAUCUAUACCUUGCAUCCUUGAAGAAAACACUCAUUGGCAUCUUCCACUGGUUCUUUUUUAUCACCAAACCAAGCUCAUUAGCCAUAAUUUAGUUUUUUUUUUUCUUAUCUGAUCAAGUUCUUAGUCUUUUUAUAUAGCAAUCAGCCACUUGUCUCUCUCUUUCUCCAAAUGUCGCAGAGAAGCAAGAUAUGAAAUCUUCAGGCUGAGUGAUUAUGAGGCAAAACAUCAGUUACAAUCACAGAAAAACAUGGAAUGUAUGCAAAAGAAAUGAUGCCUUCUUCACCAAAAACAUGGAAAGCAAUUGAAACGCAUGGAAGCUCUCUUCUGCUCACAUGGUGAAGCAGCAUGCUGAUGAAAAGGUAUGCAAAUGAAUGCAGAUAUUGAGAUGAAAAGACAACCAGUGCUGUGCUCAUGACAAGGUAUGUGCUUUUUUAUACUGAUUUUCCAACACUAGCUUUGGAAAGAUAUGGUUGUCUUAAUAUUACGCUCAGCAUUGGAAUCUUGGGAUAAAAUCUGACCUCCCUUAGUUCUCUCGGUCUGUGAAACAACCUAAAAAUGUUCUAACCAAGAGAAUAUAUGUACUUUUUUUAGGACAACUUGGUUGAACAAUGAGAAAAUUCCUUUGUUGUCUCACUCAUGUUGGGACUUCUGACAUGUUGGGAAGAUUGUUUUCAUCUUCACCACCCCAGAUUUGCUUCUUUGGAAUGAUUCCAAAUGGCCAAUCUAGGAUAUGUGACAUCCCACGUCAGUUAGAGAGAGAAACAAAACAUUCCUUAUAAGGGUGUGGAAAUCUCUCCUUAACAGGUUCACGGUUUUUGAUGCAAAGAAAGAGAGUGAAAUGUUGUUUGCAGAGAUUUGAUUAAAGAUGUAAGUGGUUCAAAAUUUGAUAUACCUCAGAAAGAACCAAUUCUUUCCUUUUUGAUGUUCAUGUGCAUGUUCAUGUUGAAUUUGACAUGUCGUGAAAAUGGAUAGUUAAGUUGCUGAAUUAUUUAAAGAAUA